GACGAACGCUGGCGGCGUGCUUAACACAUGCAAGUCGAACGAUGAAGCUGGAGCUUGCUCCGGUGGAUUAGUGGCGAACGAGUGAGUAACACGUGAGCAAUCUGCCCUUGACUCUGGGAUAACUGCGGGAAACUGUAGCUAAUACCGGAUACGAGGCACGAAGGCAUCUUCGGGUAUGGAAAGAAUUUCGGUCAAGGAUGAGCUCGCGGCCUAUCAGCUUGUUGGUGAGGUAAUGGCUCACCAAGGCGACGACGGGUAGCCGGCCUGAGAGGGUGACCGGCCACACUGGGACUGAGACACGGCCCAGACUCCUACGGGAGGCAGCAGUGGGGAAUAUUGCACAAUGGGCGAAAGCCUGAUGCAGCAACGCCGCGUGAGGGAUGAAGGCCUUCGGGUUGUAAACCUCUUUUAGCAGGGAAGAAGCGAAAGUGACGGUACCUGCAGAAAAAGCACCGGCUAACUACGUGCCAGCAGCCGCCGUAA
rnacentral:rRNA from 1 species